rnacentral:rRNA from 1 species
CAGCCGCCGCGGGAAUACCGAGGGUGCGAGCGUUAAUCGGAUUUACUGGGCGUAAAGCGUGCGUAGGCGGCUUUUUAAGUCGGAUGUGAAAUCCCUGAGCUUAACUUAGGAAUUGCAUUCGAUACUGGGAAGCUAGAGUAUGGGAGAGGAUGGUAGAAUUCCAGGUGUAGCGGUGAAAUGCGUAGAGAUCUGGAGGAAUACCGAUGGCGAAGGCAGCCAUCUGGCCUAAUACUGACGCUGAGGUACGAAAGCAUGGGGAGCAAACAGGAUUAGAUACCCCGGUAGUCCCUGUCUCUUAUAC